ACGCGUGAGCAACCUGCCUUUCAGAGGGGGAUAACGUUCGGAAACGAACGCUAAUACCGCAUAACAUAUGGAAGUCGCAUGGCUAUCAUAUCAAAGGAGCAAUCCGCUGAAAGAUGGGCUCGCGUCUGAUUAGAUAGUUGGUGGGGUAACGGCCUACCAAGUCGACGAUCAGUAGCCGGACUGAGAGGUUGAUCGGCCACAUUGGGACUGAGACACGGCCCAGACUCCUGCGGGAGGCAGCAGUGGGGGAUAUUGCACAAUGGGCGCAAGCCUGAUGCAAGCAACGCCGCGUGAGUGAUGAAGGUCUUCGGAUUGUAAAACUCUGUCCUUGGUGACGAAACAAAUGACGGUAGCCGAGGAGGAAGCCACGGCUAACUACGUGCCAGCAGCGGC
rnacentral:rRNA from 1 species